GUCUACAUACACACGUAUGUGUGUCUACACAUACAUGUGUAUAUAUAUCUACAUAUAUCCGCAUGGCCACAAUAGCUGGAAAGCCCGCAGGCUGUGGCGUUAAGACAACAACAACUGGAACACGAAAUGCUGUCAUCCGCAGUCAGUGGCAUUGUUAAAACUAGAAGCUGGCCAAGAAGAAGACCACAAUGCGAUGGAACAAUGGUGGAACAGCAGCCACAGCAAACCAACAUGCACUUGAAAUGCAAGUCAAGAGCAGUUGCAUACGAUCCGAGAGCCAGCCACCCCUUGAAGUAUGCAAUGGAUUUUGGAUUUGGGAUCGUAGCUGGAAAUCGCUUCCAUUGAACUCGAAAACCUUCACAAUUCGUAUUGCUUUCGUUUGUUGUUCUUUGCUAGCUAAAAGUAAGCAAAACAUCGAGGGAUUUGUGCCUUGUUUGUCGAUGAAAUUACUCGCAUGUUUAUUGGCUUUGUGGGCAACAAGCUAGCACAUAUGUAUGUGUCCGUUUGAAAGUAGCACAUGAGAAAAUAUAUAUCUACUCUUAUGUGCAGCUGUACAAAUUGGUUUAGCCUGGCCCCAGUUGAUAACCCAAUCAGAUAGCACCAUCAAUAUUUUGGCCAUCAAUUUAAUGGCAAACAAUUAAAUGAUAAGCAAUAAAUUACCUUUCCAAGG
rnacentral:lncRNA from 1 species